CAUAAUCUCUAUGGAGAANAGCAGGGGAUCGCAAGACCUUGCGCUUUUGGAGCGGCCGAUGUCUGAUUAGCUAGUUGGUGAGGUAAAGGCUUACCAAGGCUUCGAUCAGUAGCUGGUCUGAGAGGACGACCAGCCACACUGGGACUGAGACACGGCCCAGACUCCUACGGGAGGCAGCAGUGGGGAAUUUUGGACAAUGGGGGCAACCCUGAUCCAGCCAUGCCGCGUGAGUGAAGAAGGCCUUCGGGUUGUAAAGCUCUUUCAGCCGGAACGAAAAGGUUACGGUUAAUACCCGUGACUAAUGACGGUACCGGAAGAAGAAG
rnacentral:rRNA from 1 species